rnacentral:rRNA from 1 species
CCGUCACACCAUGGGAGUGGAUUGCAAAAGAAGUAUGUAGCUUAACCUUCGGGAGGGCGCUUACCACUUUGUGAUUCAUGACUGGGGUGAAGUCGUAACAAGGUAACCGUAGGGGAACCUGCGGUUGGAUCACCUCCUUA